CGAAAACGAAUUCUCUCUUGAGUGGAUCCUGAGUACGACGGAGCACGUGAAAUUCCGUCGGAAUCUGGGAGGACCAUCUCCUAAGGCUAAAUACUCUCUAGUGACCGAUAGUGAACCAGUACCGUGAGGGAAAGGUGAAAAGUACCCCGGAAGGGGAGUGAAAGAGAACUUGAAACCGUGUGCUUACAAGUAGUCAGAGCCCGUUAAUGGGUGAUGGCGUGCCUUUUGUAGAAUGAACCGGCGAGUUACGAUCUGAUGCAAGGUUAAGCAGAAAAUGUGGAGCCGUAGCGAAAGCGAGUCUGAAUAGGGCGAAUGAGUAUUUGGUCGUAGACCCGAAACCAGGUGAUCUACCCUUGGUCAGGUUGAAGUUCAGGUAACACUGAAUGGAGGACCGAACCGACUUACGUUGAAAAGUGAGCGGAUGAACUGAGGGUAGCGGAGAAAUUCCAAUCGAACUUGGAGAUAGCUGGUUCUCUCCGAAAUAGCUUUAGGGCUAGCCUCAAGUGAUGAUUAUUGGAGGUAGAGCACUGUUUGGACGAGGGGCCCCUCUCGGGUUACCGAAUUCAGACAAACUCCGAAUGCCAAAUAAUUUAACUUGGGAGUCAGAAUGUGGGUGAUAAGGUCCAUAUUCGAAAGGGAAACAGCCCAGACCACCAGCUAAGGUCCCAAAAUAUAUGUUAAGUGGAAAAGGAUGUGGCGUUGCCCAGACAACUAGGAUGUUGGCUUAGAAGCAGCCAUCAUUUAAAGAGUGCGUAAUAGCUCACUAGUCGAGUGACACUGCGCCGAAAAUGUACCGGGGCUAAACAUAUUACCGAAGCUGUGGAUUGUCCUUUGGACAAUGGUAGGAGAGCGUUCUAAGGGCGUUGAAGCAUGAUCGCAAGGACAUGUGGAGCGCUUAGAAGUGAGAAUGCCGGUGUGAGUAGCGAAAGACGGGUGAGAAUCCCGUCCACCGAUUGACUAAGGUUUCCAGAGGAAGGCUCGUCCGCUCUGGGUUAGUCGGGUCCUAAGCUGAGGCCGACAGGCGUAGGCGAUGGAUAACAGGUUGAUAUUCCUGUACCACCAUUAUUCGUUUUAAGCGAUGGGGGGACGCAGUAGGAUAGGCGAAGCGUGCUGUUGGAGUGCACGUCCAAGCAGUGAGAUUGAGUGUUAGGCAAAUCCGGCACUCUUAAGAUUGAGCUGUGAUGGGGAGAGGAACUUGUUCCUCGAGUCGUUGAUUUCACACUGCCGAGAAAAGCCUCUAGCUAGAAUAACGGUGCCCGUACCGCAAACCGACACAGGUAGUCAAGAUGAGAAUUCUAAGGUGAGCGAGCGAACUCUCGUUAAGGAACUCGGCAAAAUGACCCCGUAACUUCGGGAGAAGGGGUGCUCUUUGAGGUUCACGCUUCGAAGAGCCGCAGUGAAUAGGCCCAAGCGACUGUUUAUCAAAAACACAGGUCUCUGCUAAACCGUAAGGUGACGUAUAGGGGCUGACGCCUGCCCGGUGCUGGAAGGUUAAGAGGAGUGGUUAGCGCAAGCGAAGCUACGAAUCGAAGCCCCAGUAAACGGCGGCCGUAACUAUAACGGUCCUAAGGUAGCGAAAUUCCUUGUCGGGUAAGUUCCGACCCGCACGAAAGGCGUAACGAUUUGGGCACUGUCUCAACGAGAGACUCGGUGAAAUCAUAGUACCGGUGAAGAUGCCGGUUACCCGCGACAGGACGGAAAGACCCCGUGGAGCUUUACUGUAGCCUGAUAUUGAAAUUCGGUACAGUUUGUACAGGAUAGGUAGGAGCCUUAGAAGCGUGAGCGCUAGCUUACGUGGAGGCAUUGGUGGGAUACUACCCUAAUUGUAUUGGAU
rnacentral:rRNA from 1 species